ACGGGUGAGUAACACGUGGGUAACCUGCCUCAUAGAGGGGAAUAGCCUUCCGAAAGGAAGAUUAAUACCGCAUAAGAUUGUAGUGCCGCAUGGCAUAGCAAUUAAAGGAGUAAUCCGCUAUGAGAUGGACCCGCGUCGCAUUAGCUAGUUGGUGAGGUAACGGCUCACCAAGGCGACGAUGCGUAGCCGACCUGAGAGGGUGAUCGGCCACAUUGGGACUGAGACACGGCCCAGGCUCCUACGGGAGGCAGCAGUGGGGAAUAUUGCACAAUGGGGGAAACCCUGAUGCAGCAACGCCGCGUGAGUGAUGACGGUCUUCGGAUUGUAAAGCUCUGUCUUCAGGGACGAUAAUGACGGUACCUGAGGAGGAAGCCACGGCUAACUACGUGCCAGCAGCCGCGGUAAUACGUAGGUGGCAAGCGUUGUCCGGAUUUACUGGGCGUAAAGGGAGCGUAGGUGGAUAUUUAAGUGGGAUGUGAAAUACUCGGGCUUAACCUGGGUGCUGCAUUCCAAACUGGAUAUCUAGAGUGCAGGAGAGGAAAGUAGAAUUCCUAGU
rnacentral:rRNA from 1 species